ACGAACGCUGGCGGCGUGGAUAAGACAUGCGAGUCGAGCGGGACAUUUCGGGUAGCAAUAUUCGAGAUGUCUAGCGGCGAAAGGGUGCGUAACACGUGGGUAAUCUGCCAUGAAGUUUGGAAUAACUCGCUGAAAGGCGAGCUAAUACCGGAUGUGAUCAUUGAGGGACAUCCUUUGAUGAUUAAAGUUGGGGACCGUAAGGCCUGACGCUUCAUGAUGAGCCCGCGGCCUAUCAGCUAGUUGGUGAGGUAACGGCUCACCAAGGCUAAGACGGGUAGCUGGUCUGAGAGGACGACCAGCCUCACUGGAACUGAGACACGGUCCAGACACCUACGGGUGGCAGCAGUCGAGAAUUUUUCGCAAUGGGGGAAACCCUGAUGGAGCGACGCCGCGUGGGGGAUGAAUGGCUUCGGCCCGUAAACCCCUGUCAUUCGGGAUCAAUGCCUGCGGCAUAAUACGUUGCAGGUUGAUAGUACCGGAAGAGGAAGGGACGGCUAACUCUGUGCCAGCCGCCGCGGUAA
rnacentral:rRNA from 1 species